rnacentral:rRNA from 1 species
GAUGAACGCUAGCGGCAGGCCUAAUACAUGCAAGUCGGACGGGAUUCAGGAGCUUGCUUCUGAUGAGAGUGGCGCACGGGUGCGUAACACGUAUGUAACCUACCUUUAUCAGGGGGAUAGCCUCUCGAAAGAGAGAUUAAGCCCGCAUAAAAUCACAGCAGAGCAUUGUGUAGUGAUCAAAUAUUUAGAAGAUAAAGAUGGGCAUGCGGAACAUUAGCUAGAUGGCGGGGUAACGGCCCACCAUGGCGACGAUGUUUAGGGGAUCUGAGAGGAUGGCCCCCCACACUGGUACUGAGACACGGACCAGACUCCUACGGGAGGCAGCAGUAAGGAAUAUUGGUCAAUGGGCGGAAGCCUGAACCAGCCAUGCCGCGUGCAGGAAGACGGCCCUACGGGUUGUAAACUGCUUUUAUACGGGAAUAAACCCAGAUACGUGUAUCUGGCUGAAUGUACUGUAAGAAUAAGGAUCGGCUAACUCCGUG